rnacentral:rRNA from 1 species
ACGGAAGGCAGCAGUGGGGAAUAUUGCACAAUGGGGGAAACCCUGAUGCAGCAACGCCGCGUGAGUGAUGACGGUCUUCGGAUUGUAAAGCUCUGUCUUCAGGGACGAUAAUGACGGUACCUGAGGAGGAAGCCACGGCUAACUACGUGCCAGCAGCCGCGGUAAUACGUAGGUGGCAAGCGUUGUCCGGAUUUACUGGGCGUAAAGGGAGCGUAGGCGGACUUUUAAGUGGGAUGUGAAAUACCCGGGCUUAACCUGGGUGCUGCAUUCCAAACUGGGAGUCUAGAGUGCAGGAGGGGAAAGUGGAAUUCCUAGUGUAGCGGUGAAAUGCGUAGAGAUUAGGAAGAACACCGGUGGCGAAGGCGACUUUCUGGACUGUAACUGACGCUGAGGCUCGAAAGCGUGGGGAGCGAGCAGGAUUAGAUACCCUGGUA